rnacentral:rRNA from 1 species
GACGAACGCUGGCGGCGUGCCUAAUACAUGCAAGUAGAACGCAGUUUCGCACGGGGGAGUAACGCGUAGGUACCUGCCUCAUAGCGGGGGGUACCACUUUGAAACGAUAGCUAAUACCGCGUACUGUUAGAUAUACCUGAGUUUGAUUAGCUAGUUGGUGAGGUAAAGGCUCACCAAGGCGACGAUACAUAGCCGAUCUGAGAGGGUGAUCGGCCACAUUGGGACUGAGACACGGCCCAGACUCCUACGGGAGGCAGCAGUAGGGAAUCUUCGGCAAUGGACGGAAGUCUGACCGAGCAACGCCGCGUGAGUGAAGAAGGUCUUCGGGUUGUAAAGCUCUGUUGUUAGAGAAGCGGUAACUAAACAGAAAGCGACGGCUAACUACGUGCCAGCAGCCGCGGUAAUUC